rnacentral:rRNA from 1 species
UACGGAGGGGGCAAGCGUUGUUCGGAAUUACUGGGCGUAAAGGGCGCGCAGGCGGCUGCUCAAGUCAGGCGUGAAAGGCCUGGGCUCAACCCGGGAAUUGCGCUUGAGACUGGGCUGGCUUGAGUGCGGGAGAGGAUGGUGGAAUUCCCAGUGUAGAGGUGAAAUUCGUAGAUAUCAGGAGGAAGACCGGUGGCGAAGGCGCACAUCUGGCCCAAUACUGACGCUGAGGCGCGAAAGCUAGGGGAGCAAACGGG